rnacentral:rRNA from 1 species
UACGUAGGUGGCGAGCGUUGUUCGGAUUUAUUGGGCGUAAAGGGUCUGUAGGAGGUUCGUUAAAUACGAGGUGAAAUCCGGGAGCUCAACUCCCGAACUGCCUUGUAGACUGACGGACUAGGGUACUGGAGAGGUAAGCGGAAUACCAAGUGUAGCGGUGGAAUGCGUAGAUAUUUGGUAGAACACCAAGAGCGAAGGCAGCUUACUGGACUUUAACCGACUCUCAAAGACGAAAGCGUGGGGAGCAAAC